AGGUGUGAGCCACCGUGCCUGGCCAGGCUGAGUUUUAUACAGUGUUUCUGCAAGUCAUCUGUGAAGAUAAUAUGUAAGCUUAAUAAUUCUAAAUAUUUGAGAGAGUAAGUGCAUCUCAUUUUAGUUUUUAAACGCCAUAGCCACCAAGCAUUAGUUAUAGGAAGACUGUAUAGUUCAAAGCAAUAUUUCAAAGACCUCUAACAGGAGUGAAAAUUGCAUAAUUCACUUGUAUGUCCUUAUCCAUCCCUUUUCUAAAUAAAAAUGCUCUACUACCUGGUCCAGGGUCUUUGAUUCCAUAGCAUAGUGGGAAGCAGGCACUAAACUGCUAAAUUCUAACACCAUCUGUAUGACCUAAAUCCUAAGAGAUAUAUUGUUUCUGCUGCCAAUGCCAGAAUCAACCUCAGCUGCCAACGCCAGAAUCAACCUCAGCUGCCAAAUGCUAGACUGAAAAAAGAAUGUAAACAGCUUGAUGGAGGGGAGGAUCCUGGUGCACCUGUGGUUUUGACAGCUUUUGCUGCUGCUUGAGGAGGAAACAGGUUGCCUGUUUGUUCUUCAAGAGCACUUCUGGCAUCCAGAUGCUUCAGGUGACUACAGCCAGCUCCAGAGGUUCCAAAGAUCUUAAAGAUGUCCCAGAAAAGUUCUAGAGUACUAUCAGAUCUCACACUUUGCCUUGGAAGCUGUCAUUCCCCUCCAUUGGCCCCACAACUGCAGUAUAAUCUUCAGUGACAGGAGAAAAUCGACCUUGUUUGUACAGAAGUCUCAGCAGGAAUAGGCAGAUGCCUGUUUUUGCUGCCAAGGAUGGAGGAUUGGAAUGGGCCCAUUAUAUAUUUUGAGGCUUUGAAGAAAAGUCUCAGGAUAUGUUUUCCCAUUAAAAUACUGUUAUAAACAAUUAGAUUUAUAGGUUGUUUAAAAUCUCAUUUCAGCCAAUUGUAGUUUUAAAAGUCAUUUGUAAUAGGCACG
rnacentral:lncRNA from 10 species